rnacentral:rRNA from 1 species
UUUGGCUAAAGAUGAUGGUCGAAUGUUAAGUGUAGAAUACUCGAGCGGCGGACGGCUGAGUAACGCGUAGGAAUGUACCCCAAAGUGAGGGAUAAGCUCCAGAAAUGGUGUCUAAUACCGCAUAUGAUCUUCGGAUUAAAGCUUUUAUUAGCGCUUUGGGAACAGCCUGCGUCUGAUUAGAUAGUUGGUGAGGUAAAGGCUCACCAAGUCGACGAUCAGUAGCUGAUCUGAGAGGAUGAUCAGCCAGACUGGAACUGAGACACGGUCCAGACUCCUACGGGAGGCAGCAGUAAGGAAUCUUCCACAAUGGGGGCAACCCUGAUGGAGCAACGCCGCGUGCGGGAUGAAGGCCUUAGGGUCGUAAACCGCUUUUGUUAGCGAAGAAUAUGACGGUAACUAACGAAUAAGGGUCGGCUAACUACGUGCCAGCAGCCGCGGUCAUACGUAGGACCCAAGCGUUAUCCGGAGUGACUGGGCGUAAAGAGUUGCGUAGGUGGCUCAUUAAGUGAGUAGUGAAAUCGUGUGGCUCAACCAUACGGCUAUUACUCAAACUGGUGAGCUCGAGAAUGGUAGAGGUAGCUGGAAUUUCUAGUGUAGGAGUGAAAUCCGUAGAUAUUAGAAGGAACACCAAUGGCGUAGGCAGGCUACUGGACCAUUUCUGACACUGAGGCACGAAAGCGUGGGGAGCGAACCGGAUUAGAUACCCGGGUAGUCCACGCCGUAAACUAUGGAUACUAGCUGUGGGGGGUAUCGACCCCCUCCGUAGCGAAGCUAACGCGUUAGGUAUCCCGCCUGUGGAGUACGGUCGCAAGACUAAAACAUAAAGGAAUUGACGGGGACCCGCACAAGCGGUGGAGCGUGUUCUUUAUUCGAUGAUAAACGAAGAACCUUACCA